rnacentral:rRNA from 1 species
UUGGAGGGCAAGUCUGGUGCCAGCAGCCGCGGUAAUUCCAGCUCCAAUAGCGUAUAUUAAAGCUGUUGCAGUUAAAAAGCUCGUAGUUGAAUUUCGGGAUCAAUUUAUCGGUCGUGCCUACGGUAUGAACUGGUACAAUUGGUUUCUCCCUUCUGACGAAGCAUGAUGUCAUUAAUUUGGUGUCGUGGGGAAUCAGGACUGUUACUUUGAAAAAAUUAGAGUGUUUAAAGCAAGCAUUAGCUUGAAUACAUUAGCAUGGAAUAAUGAAAUAGGACGUUUGAUCCUAUUUCGUUGGUUUCUAGGAUCGACGUAAUGAUUAAUAGGGAUAGUUGGGGGCAUUAGUAUUCAAUUGUCAGAGGUGAAAUUCUUGGAUUUAUUGAAGACUAACUACUGCGAAAGCAUUUGCCAAGGAUGUUUUCAUUAAUCAAGAACGAAAGUUAGGGGAUCGAAGACGAUCAGAUACCGUCGUAGUCUUAACCAUAAACUAUGCCGACUAGGGAUCGGAUGAUGUUAAUUUUUUAAUGACUCAUUCGGCGCCUUACGGGAAAC